rnacentral:sRNA from 1 species
GCCAGGCACAGUAGCGCACGCCUGUAAUCCCAGCGACUCCGGGGGCUGAGGCAGGAGGAUCGCAAGUUAGAGGCCAGCCUCAGCAACUUAGUGAGACCCUGUCUCAA